rnacentral:lncRNA from 1 species
GAACAUCUUACAAUAGACAGCAUCCGACCCCCCUGACAGCAUCAUCUGUGUAUGGAACGUGGUCAGAUGAGCCUCUGGAUCUUCCACGCCAGUAAAAACAGCUUUAACCGGGACCACGCUCGUGGGAAUUGGCGUGUCAGUAAUCGCCUGAAUGAAAGGCAUUGGGAAAACACGAGGCGGCGUCGACGGUGCCACCUCUUCAGCAGAAGAACGAACCUGC